CUGUGUGAUAGAAGUUGUCAUUAAAAGACAGGUGAAUUGUAGUCGAUGGUUGAUUAAAGACUGACGAUUUUAUUCAUGCACUUAAAGACUAUAUACAAUAAAUUGCUUAGCUGACUUAUUUAAAUUCUCCGAAUUCUAUUCAGGUUAUUGUUGCACUUAUAACUAAAUAAUAAUUAUUUCUUGCUUAUGAUUCAUUAUUUCGUGCGAUUUCAUUAUUGUUCGAUUCCAGUUAAUUCAAAAUUAUGUCAAUAGACAAAAUGAGACUUUGUCACUAACCGUUGGACAGUUAGCGUUACCGUUGAUGAUGUCGUAGAAAAAACUCAAUGACGCGUUGACACGUCGACGGCGAAGACUAAUCAUGUUCAAGUCCGACAAUCGUUGCUCGUACGGUGUGAUUGAGUAUUGGUUAUGUACGGAUGGGUAUUCUCGACGAGCGUACAUAGUGAAUUGGCGUUGCACGGAUUCGAUUUUGUCACUGUGGAUUUUGUGGAAUGGAAGCCAUACCAUGGCGCAGUAAUCGAGGUGAGACUGAACCAAUGCAAAAUACAGCGACUUUAGUGUGGUAACGUCAGUGAUGUCAUGGCAAAAGCGCUUGACAAAGCCAAGUGCAGCCGUUGCCUUCGCAGUGACCAUGUCAAUGUGUUUGGCAAAUGAUAGUUUUCUGUCAAUUAGAACACCCAAGUCCUUGUGUUCAGUCACUUUGCCGAAGGUUUGGUCGCCAUAGGUGUAGCUUGUUUCCAAAUGCUGACGUUUCUUGUAGAUAGAUAGCACUGCACAUUUUUCGAGGUUAAGGUGCAGCAAAUUCACAUCACAUGCUGACCAAGUGGAAAAAAUAUUGCGAAUGUUUCAACAAUGUUUGGUAGUUUGGAGAUGGCCAGUCUUAAGCGACCCGGAUGAUGAUGAACACGCUUGGUUCUUGGGUAUUGCUGCAGAAUUGAGCAUUGAAAACGGAAGACUGAGAAUUGGAGUAAUGACGGACGAUGGUGCAUUAUUACCGGCGACAAUAGAUGAGGUCGAAAACAAUUUCAUGAAAUGUCCGUUCUGCACAGAUGAAGAUGACUACUUUCCAAUAAUACCUGCAGAGCUUGCAUAUCACAUGAACGAGCGACAUCCCGAUUUAGAUUUCUCUUCUUACGAAUAAUUUGAGAUUUUUCGAAACUUUUCCCUGAAAAUUUACACGGUUGAAAAUUGAAUUUUAUUUGAAUUGAA